rnacentral:rRNA from 1 species
GUCUCAGUUCAGAUUGCAGGCUGCAACUCGCCUGCAUGAAGUCGGAAUUGCUAGUAAUCGUAGGUCAGCAUACUACGGUGAAUACGUUCCCGGGCCUUGUACACACCGCCCGUCAAACCAUGAGAGUUGGCAACACCCGAAGUCGGUAGUCUAACCGCAAGGAGGACGCCGCCGAAGGUGGGGUUGAUGAUUAGGGUUAAGUCGUAACAAGGUAUC